GCUCCUGCUGUUGAUUUCAAAACCUGCAGCCAGAGCCAAGAGGAAACCCGGAGCUAAUGAGCUCCCCAGCCGCCGGCAGAGCCGUGGCCCCGAAGAACAGAGCCCGUUACGGGGCAGGGAUGGUCUCCGUUGCCCAACUGUCCAUUCCGAGCGCUUGGUACGCUGCUGUGCGCCUAGUAAGCGCUCAAUAAAUACUACCGAAUGAAGCCAGCCUAAAAAUUCUGCGGUCUUACCAUCCGAUUCCAGGAGAACCUGCACUUGCUUUGGCUUGAGCUUUAAAAUUGGAAGUAGAACGGAAGUCACCUGAAUGGGACAAACCACAGUGUUUGGUCCACACUUGGGGGAAUCGAGGAAGGAUCUGCCCCAAGGACCGCCUGGGAAUGGGGAGACGCAAGCCCUUCCACCGAAUGUCAGGGGGCCUGUUUGAGAGAACGUUUCGCUGACGCCCUGGAGGAAGGUCUCUCCGGGUCACGGCUGGAGCACCGCAUGAACAUUUCCCACUGCCGUCCCUACCGAUGCCGAGAAAAGGAAGAUUUCGGCCCCCAGGCCUGUCGAAAUGCUCCCAAAGAUCUCCGAAAGCCCAUUCCAGGAGAAAAGGGAGAUCUCUCUAAGUAGGCUGUCAGAGACUUCGUGUCAUUAUCUGGAGGUCACAAACCCGACAGAUGGCCAUUUAUUGAUGGAUUGAUUGCUUGCUGCCCGAAAUCCCCUCUGUGUCACAUCACUAGAGGGUCGUCCUGAGCUCAAGCUCACAAUGAACAUUUGUUUUGAUUAGGAUGGGGUCCUUCAUCUCCUUCUGGUUCAGAAAUGGAAAACAUCACUAAUAAGUAGUAAGUAACACUGAUGAACAUUAUUAGCAUAAUCCCCCUGGGUCAUAAUUUCACUGUUUUAAAAUAGGCUAGAGUGUCUGUUAUUAAGUCAAAAUGCUUUCAUUUAAAUUUGUUUUUAAAUUGAGGCACUUAAAAUAAGUGGAGUUGAUGGCUUUAAGGGAAGCUGAUUGUAGUGGCACAGUCACACUGGAUUUAGUUAAUGGAUAAAUGACAAAUUUCAAAGGAAAAGCUGACAUUUUCACUUAACUUAGGUCACUGAUGUCACUCGAGGCUGCCUCUUCCAUGUUGGAGAUGUUCUGCACCCGUUCUGUAAAAUUCCAAGAAAAUCUUUCUUCCCCCCAGUAAAUCAUAAUAAUGUAGUAGGAGUAUUUAUGAAGCACGGACUGCAGGCGGAACACCGUCCUAAGCGCUGGGCAAAAAUACCCAGGAGAGAAGGGGCAGACCAUCUCGGAUUUAGUGGAGAGAGGGUGGUUGGUGACGGGUACAUAGGGAAAAAAGAAACAGAAAACAAAAGACAUGAUAAUGAUAAAUAAGAAAAAAAUAACACACUGUGGGCUAGAGGAGUCGACUAGAUUGUAAACUCCUUGUGGGGAGGGAUCACGUCUACUUCCUUUUGUACUUUUUCAUAGUACUUAGUACCAUACUCUGCACUCGAUGCAUAAGAACACAUACAAUGGUGGUUUUUCUCUGAAGCAUAAAAUCCCUUGGCCAAAGAGUUGGAAAAAUCCUUGCCCACAUUCCCUAGGACACUGCCCAAUUUGAAGAAGAUGUUCCCAGGGGUCCUGGCAGGCAGAGAACUAUGCUUCCUUUUCCCAUGAAGACGAGAGCCCCUUAGAUUCGGUUGACCUUUAUCCUCCGACUGCGGGCCAGGAAACCUGACUUGGCCUCGAACGGGACGUCGGGGGAGUCAACGUGUUUGUCUUAACCGACUGCUGUCUGGUGAUCAUUAUUAGAUGGUUUCCCACUGGAAAAUCUUCAAGGGAAAGCUAGCGAUGGCUCACAGUUUCUUUAUUGGUUAAUGGGCUAUGAAAAAUCCCUCCUAGGUGUUUCCUAGUGGAACCACCUGUCAGCUGCCAGCCCUCUCCUGGAUCCAAAUUGUCAAUUCCCUGCCAUAUUCACACAAGCCAGAGAUUUCACUGUGGGCCUAUUCAGUGGCUCUUUCAGAGACAGAAUUCCGGGCUCCAUGGCUGACUGCUCAGACACAAUAUGGCCUUGUUCACAUCCUUAUCUCAUCUUGUAAUAUCACUACCAUUCAUUUGAAGGUGUAAAAAUUGUCAUUAAAUAAAUGUUCUUUAAUAACUCA